rnacentral:rRNA from 1 species
AGAGUUUGAUCCUGGCUCAGGACGAACGCUGGCGGCGCGCCUAACACAUGCAAGUCGAACGAGAGAGUGAGGAGCUUGCUCUUCAAAUCGAGUGGCGAACGGGUGAGUAACGCGUGAGGAACCUGCCUCAAAGAGGGGGACAACAGUUGGAAACGACUGCUAAUACCGCAUAAGCCCACGGCUCGGCAUCGAGCAGAGGGAAAAGGAGCGAUCCGCUUUGAGAUGGCCUCGGCGUCCGAUUAGCUAGUUGGUGAGGUAACGGCCCACCAAGGCGACGAUCGGUAGCCGGACUGGAGAGGUUGAACGGCCACCAUUGGGACUGAGACACGGCCCAGACUCCUACGGGAGGCAGCA